CACGUAGGCACCAAGCGUUGUCCGGAUUUAUUGGGCGUAAAGAGCUUGUAGGCGGUUCGGUAAGUCGGGUGUGAAACCUCUGGGCUCAACUCAGAGACGCCACCCGAUACUGCUGUGACUAGAGUGCGGUAGGGGAGCGGGGAAUUCCUGGUGUAGCGGUGAAAUGCGCAGAUAUCAGGAGGAACACCAGUGGCGAAGGCGCCGCCCUGGGCCGUAACUGACGCUGAGAAGCGAAAGCUAGGGUAGCAAACGGG
rnacentral:rRNA from 1 species